rnacentral:rRNA from 1 species
ACGGGAGGCAGCAGUGGGGGAUAUUGCACAAUGGGGGAAACCCUGAUGCAGCGACGCCGCGUGAGUGAAGAAGUAUUUCGGUAUGUAAAGCUCUAUCAGCAGGGAAGAAAAUGACGGUACCUGACUAAGAAGCUCCGGCUAAAUACGUGCCAGCAGCCGCGGUAAUACGUAUGGAGCAAGCGUUAUCCGGAUUUACUGGGUGUAAAGGGAGCGUAGACGGCGAGGCAAGUCUGAUGUGAAAGCUAUGGGCUCAACCCAUAAACUGCAUUGGAAACUGUCUUGCUUGAGUGUCGGAGAGGUAAGCGGAAUUCCUAGUGUAGCGGUGAAAUGCGUAGAUAUUAGGAGGAACACCAGUGGCGAAGGCGGCUUACUGGACGAUAACUGACGUUGAGGCUCGAAAGCGUGGGGAGCAAACAGGAUUAGAUACCCUGGUA